rnacentral:rRNA from 1 species
UUUUAAUUGGAGGCUAGAAUGAAAGAAUAAAUGAAACUAUUACUAUCUUUAUUAAUAUAUAAAAAUUAUUUUUUAAGUGCAGAAACUUAGAUAAAGAUGAAGGACAAAAAGACCCUAUUGAUCUUGAUUUUUAUAAAGAUGUUACUUUUAGAAAUUUGGUUGGGGCGACUGAGAAAUAUAUAAAUCUUUUUUUAAUAAAUUGAAUUUCUUUUCUUAAUAAAGAUCUUAUUAAAGUAUAAGGAAUAAGUUACCAUAGGGAUAACAGGUUAAUUUUUUUUGAGAGUUCAUAUUAAUAAAAAAGUUUAACACCUCGAUGUUGGCUUAAGAUAUCCUAUAGGUGCAGAAGCUUAUCAGG